CCCUCCAGAAUUCCUUCGCCCAUCUCUGGUCUAUUGUUCUCUAUACUUGCACAUCCAGAAAAUCCAUCGACACUCUUGUUGCAGUACAGAUCUGGAAAGCAUUCCUAUCUAAAGUUUAGCUAGCAGCGACGAUGAAUCAUCUUCGAAACCUGGAGUUAACAGGAUUUUUCAUUAAUUUGGGGUUUUGACGCAGCUAAAUUUGGUAGUGGCAAUGCACUGGUUUGUUAUGGAGUGACUGGUCCAUUGGGUGUUUACCAUUUGAAAGCAGGAUGAUUCAAUUGAAUGCAGAUCUUUCCACAAAUUAUAUGAUACAUAUAGUUAAAAGAUGAAGGUCAGGCUUUCAAAUUGACUUGAACUGUCAUCAACGAUUUUAAAAUUGCUAAGAAGUUUGGUAUUGAUUGAUUUUAGUUUUGUAAAGCUUAAUCUCAAGGAAAGAUGUGCUGCUUUGGUAUUGAUUGAUUUUAGUUUUAUCAAGCUUAAUCUCAAAGAAAGAUCUGCUGCUCAGGGGUAGUGAAGAUGAUACAGGGCUUUACCAAAUGUGCAGGUGCUCUCCAUUGGAUGCUGAAUCUUCAAGCAAACGUCAUCUUCCUCCUCGUGAAUGCUUUCCCAACAUGUCAUAUGCAUCUCCAACAUUUUCCUCUAGUCUCAAACACAGAAUUGUGAGGACUUAUUUAUAGUGUUGUAGGUUUAUAGAUACUUUCUCAACUUGUUGAAGCACAAAGAAUCAAUACUAUCUCCACUGAGGCUCGAUCUCAUGACCUCUCAUAUAGGAAAGUCACUUAUUAU